rnacentral:rRNA from 1 species
GGCGAACGCUGGCGGCGUGCUUAACACAUGCAAGUCGAACGGAAAGGCCUGCUUUCCCUUGUGGAUUGCGGGUACUCGAGUGGCGAACGGGUGAGUAACACGUGAGUGAUCUGCCCCCAACUUGGGUAUAAGCCUGGGAAACUGGGUCUAAUUCCCGAUAGUACUGCAGGGUGGUGCCUGUGGUGGAAAACGAUUUUCUAGUGGUUGGGGAUGAGCUCGCGGCCUAUCAGCUUGUUGGUGGGGUAAUGGCCUACCAAGGCGGCGACGGGUAGCCGGCCUGGGAGGGUGGACGGCCACAUUGGGACUGAGAUACGGCCCAGAAUCCUACGGGAGGCAGCAGUGGGGAAUAUUGCACAAUGGGCGGAAGCCUGAUGCAGCGACGCCGCGUGGGGGAUGACGGCCUUCGGGUUGUAAACUCCUUUCGACCGCGAGGAAGCCACCUGGUUGGAAGGGUGGUGACGGUAGUGGUAGAAGAAGCACCGGCUAACUACGUG